UACGAAGGGGGCAAGCGUUGCUCGGAAUUAUUGGGCGUAAAGCGCACGUAGGCGGCUUAGCAAGUCUGAUGUGAAAUCCCUCGGCUUAACCAAGGAAGUGCAUCGGAAACUGCUGAGCUUGAGUACGAAAGAGGAUCGCGGAAUUCCCGGUGUAGAGGUGAAAUUCGUAGAUAUCGGGAGGAACACCAGUGGCGAAGGCGGCGACCUGGGCCGAUACUGACGCUGAGGUGCGAAAGCGUGGGGAGCAAACAGG
rnacentral:rRNA from 1 species